GAAGUACGCCCGUUUCCAGUGGGGUCUUAGUCUUCGUGGAAUUUGUAGUUUCGUGAGCAAGACAGUCAACCAACAGGUCGUGCGCCCCAACGUCUCUUCUCAUUGAAGUAAAUCAGCAUUACUGUUGAAUGAAGCGUACUCGUCUUUAAAAGCGGAAACUCCUGAUAUAAAAGCAGCACGCACCGCCUCCUCCGGGAUGCGGGGCUUCAGCUUAAACGGCGAGUUUCCACCCUCUCUGCCCUACCACAUUCCUCCACGUGGGAGCCCCUUGGGUCAGAAAAGCACCUUGUAGACCGGACGUCAGCAGCCCCGCAACGAGCCCUCGGCAGUAACACCGAAGGUUGCCGCUGUCCCUUCGAGACCCCCAGGACGGAGCCUGGCCCUGCAGAAGCCUCCAAGAAAACAACAAGCCUACAAGAAACCUCCAAGAAAACACGGGCAGCCGCCUCAUGUACCUGGGUCGGCACGCGUGGGAGGAGUCACGGGUUCCCAGGGCUGCUGUCGCUCCGGUCCCCACCGUGGGGUCGCUCUCCUUCCUUGCCACCCUCUGGCCUCCGGGGUAAGCAGAAUUCCAUCCUCUCUGAGCCCUGAUCUGCCUGGCACAUCUCUCUCUUCUGGCACAAGAACCUAACUUGGAGCUUUUGUGGAGCAAAUGAUCUCUGCUGCUCAGUGCAGCUCCCCCCAGCCUCUGUCUCCACGGGCCGAGGGCCGGUGCUGGUUUCCAGCAGGCCAGCCUCUACCACAGCCCCCAGGACACAGCCCGCAGGCACCAGCAGAGGCGAGCGGCAGUCAGUGUUCAUGCAACACCAGGUCUGGCCGGGAAUGAGCAUUGUCCCCGCGAGAGGGGCCACACCUGCCUCCUGCACAUCACCGGACCGCAGGCUGCUCUGUGGGUUCAGAGGCACACGGCACGCUGGUGACUCCCGACAGGCUGGAAGCGGUUUCAGGCAUCUGCAAGGUCGCAGCCGCGUACCGCCCCUCCCGGUGGAAGAACUGAUUCCAGGGGCCGCCUUAGCAUGCCUAGACGAGCCGCCGGCGCCGGGCACCGCCCAAGGGCUCCACUUUUACUCCUUAUUAGCCUUUUACUCCUGUUGACUGUUAGGGGUUGAACUGUGUCCUCUUUAAAUGCUGAUGUUGAAAUGUGAACGAAUCCCCAGGGCCUCAGAAAGGGACCAUGUGGGGAGGGGGAGUCUUUCCAGAGGUGGUCAAGUUACAAUGAGGUCAUCAGGCGCUCAUCUGAUACGACGAUCCUCAUGAGGACAGGAAAUGUGGACACAGGUUAAUACACGGAGGGAGAUGACACAGAGACAGGCAGCUCUAAGCCAAGGAGAGGGCCCGGACAGGAUUCUUGCCUGCGGCCCUCGGCAAGAAACCGCCUGCCCUGCGGCGAUCUCCGUCCGGCGUAUGGGUCCAGUCUGGCCGCUGCUGUGCGUGGAGACCGGGGCUCGCACACUCACGUGCUCUCCGGGCGCUUGCACGUCCUCUGAAUUUCUGUAGCUCAUACUCUACGGGAGGUCAGCGCCGGAAAACUAGGGCUGUGGUUCAAAAUCACACGGCAGCGCUGACCACUUGCAGUGGAGAAGAUACAGCUCCCAAAGCCAAAAAUAUGUACUAUGUGGUCCUUUGUAGGGAAAGUUUGCUGACUCCUGUUUUAGAAGAAGCAUGAUUCCCAAUCCUACUUGAGGAGCAGAACCCCUGCGGGAUCCCAGACCUGAGCAGCCUCACCCUCCAGAGAAUCGGAAAACUUUAAAGUGUCACUGAGCGACUCCCUUACAGUCCACCCCUCAUGGGGGAACCCCAGAACAGGGGAGGCUCCCCAGGCCAUCCCAGCGCUAGGCUAACUUGCCGCUUUAGGCAGGUCCCCAGCCCUGCCCACACACCCGUCUCCUCGGCAGGGACUGACCUGACGGAAACACGGCAUCUCCAAGGCCCCCGGGGCUGUGUCUGUGAGUCUGUGGUCUGUGCAUUUGUCACAUCGGGACGUUCAAGGGUGUGGCGCCCAGUGCCAGUCAGCGCCCCCAUGAGGCAUGUUUGCUGCCUGCUAGCAAUGGUGAGAAUGAUCCGGAGACUCCUGGAGGCUGAACUGUGUCCCCGUAGAAUUCAUAUGCUGAUGUCCUUACCCCCAGCACACCCGACUCGGACUGUAUUUGGAGGAGGGGCAGUUAAGGUAAAC